rnacentral:tRNA from 1 species
CGGAAUGUAGUAUAACGGUAGUACACACGCAUGGGGUGCGUGCGGCCGGAGUUCGACUCUCCGCAUUCCGACAA